rnacentral:rRNA from 1 species
CUCGUAGGCGGCCAACUAAGUCGGAUGUGAAAUCCCCAGGCUUAACCUGGGAACUGCAUCCGAUACUGGAUGGCUUGAAUCCGGGAGAGGGAUGCAGAAUUCCAGGUGUAGCGGUGAAAUGCGUAGAUAUCUGGAGGAAUACCGGUGGCGAAGGCGGCAUCCUGGACCGGCAUUGACGCUGAUGAGCGAAAGCUAGGGGAGCAAACGG